rnacentral:misc_RNA from 1 species
GAAAUGCGAUAAGUUAUGUGAAUUGCAGAAUUCAGUGAAUCAUCGAAUCUUUGAACGCACCUUGCGCUCCUUGGUAUUCCUUGGAGCAUGCCUGUUUGAGUAUCAUGAAAUCUUCAAAGUAAAUCUUUUGUUAACUCAAUUGGUUUCUACUUUGGUAUUGGAGGUCUUUGCAGCUUCACACCUGCUCCUCUUUGUUCAUUAGCUGGAUCUCAGUGUUAUGCUUGGUUCCACUCGGCGUGAUAAGUUAUCUAUCGCUGAGGACACUGUAAAAGGUGGCCAAGGUAAAUGCAGAUGAACCGCUUCUAAUAGUCCAUUGACUUGGACAAUACUUUUAUGAUCUGAUCUCAAAUCAGGUAGGACUACCCGCUGAACUUAAGC